GUUGUUAUAGUUGAGAAAAAGGCAACGGUUACUUGUUUUUUAAUAUUUUUCUUAGCUACUGCGACGAUUUCUACCCAUGAAGAUAUUUUUCUUUUCUUUGGAAUUUCCCUUAACCUAAAAUCCCCCAAACUUUUCAUUUUCUAAUUUGAUUUUUCACAUUCUGCCACUAGCCCACCACAACCCCCUCAGUCUCAUCUAAACUUUCUCUCAUAUUCAAUUCUUCGCUAAACCUAAUGUGAAUUAAAUUAGGGUUUCAAUUUUGUUAACCAAUCACUUUCUAUCUCCUCCAAUGUCGUCAAUGGUGGACAAUUCAAUCCCACUUUCACCACCAUCCCCGUUAACGGCGUCGGCAGUAGCUAUUAGGGCCGGUCAAUCAGUGAUCCCAGUCGUGCACAAGCUUUAGACAUAGUCGCCCAACUUGAGUGGUUCCGCAAGUUUUCGUCGGAGAAAGCCAAAGCAGCGGAAACGAUUGUUCUCGAAGCUCUCGUCGCUGCGGUAUCUCGCCACCAGGGUCCAGAUUAAGAGGAGUGGGGAGAGUUCUUGUAUCUUUCGAAAGCGAUUUUAAUGAUAUUCAGAGGGAAAUUCAGGGUGGUAGAUAGAAUUGAAGGAGAAUGGUAGAUAAAAGGAUGGCAAGAAGGAUGGCAAGAAGGGCAUAGAUAAAAGGAUGGCAAGAAGGGCAUAGAUUGAAGGGCAUAACUCAUAUGGAGUCUUUUCGACAGCUUUAGACGGAGCUCUAUUUAGUGUGAGUGAAGCUGUGUUUAGUGCAUGUCCCCAAAAUUCUAUUGGAAGUUCGGCCUGACCCAUCAUUGAUCGAACCAUGUCUAGCAAGGUCCUGUUCCUCCGUUCUGACACACCGUUCCGUUGAGGUGUUCCAGGAGGAGUCAAUUCUGACAGAAUUCCACAUUCUUUCAGAUGAUCAUCAAAUUCAUAGCUCAGAUAUUGACCGCAUCUAUCAGACCGCAGUGCUUUAAUCUUCUUGCCUAAUUGAUUCUCUACUUCACUCUGAAAUUCCUUGAAUUUGUCAAAAGAUUCAGCCUUAUGCUUCAUUAGGUAGACAUAACCAUAUCUACUGAAGUCAUCAGUGAAAAUGAUAAAGUAGCUGAAACCACCUCUAGCAUUUGAACUCAUUGGUCCACAUACAUCUGUAUGGAUUAAACCUAAUAGUUCAGUUGCUCUUUCUCCAACUUUAGAUAAAGGUUGCUUUAAUUUAUCA